GCAAGAAGCGAGUGUUCUUCAGCAAAUUGACAUAACGUUAGCAGCAAAAUGUUUAGCGAGCCCAAACAAAAAAACGACGCUAAGAAGAGGAAGGAUAAAAAAAAAAGAACAUUAUGAGUUUACUGCUCAACUGACGACAUUAGUUAGGUUCUACUCCCUAUACCUCAAAUUCAUUGACUGUUAGCAAUGUUGACGUGCAGCUGGGGGCUAACGUUAGCUGGACUAGCGAACAGCGGAGCCAGGAAUGUGGCCUUGAGCAGUGCUGAUAUUGAUGUUGCUGAGGGCGACGCGAGGGCCGGUGGAUGAACUUCUGAGUGAAGCAUCAUAUCACUGGGGGUUUGCAGCUGCACCAAUCACCCGCUGUGCACACCAACAGUUACAGAUCAAAUUCUCUUCACUUUCCCAGACGUGACGGAGACGUGUCAAAUUAAAACAGUAAGAGCUGAGGAGACUGAACGGUCCUAUUCAUGCUCAUCAGCUCCAUCCAGAUGACCAUAUGGGCAGGAGAGGAGCAUGAGAUCCACACCAGAGAAUUCAUUAGGAGCCGCAGUGCCAUCAACCCUCUGUUUCUUUGAGGUAGCCGAUGAGAUUCAGGCUAGUGGGCGGCCUGAGGCAAUGACACCAUCCACUUGCGGCAGAAGAACAGUAAUUGGACUGUGUGUCACAUAAAUCCAGGUUGUGACAGGCCACAAUGCAAAGCUAUCUCUGAGCCAGUCCACUGACCUGCAGUGGCUUUCUUAGCUUUUCAGUGGCGGUCAGAAGAUGUACUGUAGGUCAGC